GACGAACGCUGGCGGCGUGCUUAACACAUGCAAGUCGAACGGAAAGGCCCUGCUUUUGUGGGGUGCUCGAGUGGCGAACGGGUGAGUAACACGUGAGUAACCUGCCCUUGACUUUGGGAUAACUUCAGGAAACUGGGGCUAAUACCGGAUAGGAGCUCCUGCUGCAUGGUGGGGGUUGGAAAGUUUCGGCGGUUGGGGAUGGACUCGCGGCUUAUCAGCUUGUUGGUGGGGUAGUGGCUUACCAAGGCUUUGACGGGUAGCCGGCCUGAGAGGGUGACCGGCCACAUUGGGACUGAGAUACGGCCCAGACUCCUACGGGAGGGAGCAGUGGGGAAUAUUGCACAAUGGGCGGAGGCCUGAUGCAGCAACGCCGCGUGCGGGAUGACAGCCUUCGGGUUGUAAACCGCUUUCGCCUGUGACGAAACGUGAGUGACGGUAAUGGGUAAAGAAGCACCGGCUAACUACGUG
rnacentral:rRNA from 1 species